GAUUCAUUAUCGACAGGUGUGAUUGAAGUGCUUAGAAAGCACUGCUGUCCCCAUGCUCCCUGAGUAAAAGGAAGACUUCUUCAAGGAGGCAUCUCCUGCCAUGUGACACAACGUGCCCUUAUGAAUCAUGGAACACUCUGCGCAUUACCCAAGGGCAAAAGACUGACCAACGGCUAAGCAGGCACAGUGCCAUCGUAACAGAUGGGCAUCCAUUGAGUAGCCAAGAAGCCAUGAGGAGGUAAUGCACCAAGCAGAUGUGGAGUGGCUGUGUGCUCUCACUCAUUUCUCUUGGUCAGAUAGACAGAAAGAGCAUCUGCACUGGCCCGAAGCAGACCCCUGACAUCAUAAGACAUCUGUAUUCCACCAGUUUUAACAUGAUAUGCUUCGAGAGCCAGAGUGGCUCUGGAAAGGAAUGCACCUGGCACCGGCCACGGAGCAGAGCAGGGGGAAAAGCAGCCGUGGAACUAACUAGCUUUGCUCAAGAGCCAGCUCAGACUGGUUUGUGGCAAAUCUGCCUUUCCAAAAUUACUAAUUGUGAGCUGUCCAAGGCCUGUCAGUAACCACAACAU